GGUUAAGUUAGAAAGGGCGCACGGUGGAUGCCUUGGCACUAGGAGCCGAUGAAGGACGGGACGAACACCGAUAUGCUUCGGGGAGCUGUAAGCAAGCUUUGAUCCGGAGAUUUCCGAAUGGGGAAACCCACCACUCGUAAUGGAGUGGUAUCCAUAUCUGAAUACAUAGGAUAUGAGAAGGCAGACCCGGGGAACUGAAACAUCUAAGUACCCGGAGGAAGAGAAAGCAAAUGCGAUUCCCUGAGUAGCGGCGAGCGAAACGGGAUCAGCCCAAACCAAGAGGCUUGCCUCUUGGGGUUGUAGGACACUCUGUACGGAGUUACAAAGGAACGAGGUAGAUGAAGAGGUCUGGAAAGGCCCGCCAUAGGAGGUAACAGCCCUGUAGUCAAAACUUCGUUCUCUCCUGAGUGGAUCCUGAGUACGGCGGAACACGUGAAAUUCCGUCGGAAUCCGGGAGGACCAUCUCCCAAGGCUAAAUACUCCCUAGUGACCGAUAGUGAACCAGUACCGUGAGGGAAAGGUGAAAAGCACCCCGGAAGGGGAGUGAAAGAGAUCCUGAAACCGUGUGCCUACAAGUAGUCAGAGCCCGUUAACGGGUGAUGGCGUGCCUUUUGUAGAAUGAACCGGCGAGUUACGAUCCCGUGCAAGGUUAAGCAGAAGAUGCGGAGCCGCAGCGAAAGCGAGUCUGAAUAGGGCGAAUUGAGUACGUGGUCGUAGACCCGAAACCAGGUGAUCUACCCAUGUCCAGGGUGAAGUUCAGGUAACACUGAAUGGAGGCCCGAACCCACGCACGUUGAAAAGUGCGGGGAUGAGGUGUGGGUAGGGGUGAAAUGCCAAUCGAACCUGGAGAUAGCUGGUUCUCUCCGAAAUAGCUUUAGGGCUAGCCUCAAGGUAAGAGUCUCGGAGGUAGAGCACUGAUUGGACUAGGGGCCCCUACCGGGUUACCGAAUUCAGUCAAACUCCGAAUGCCGAUGACUUAUCCUUGGGAGUCAGACUGCGAGUGAUAAGAUCCGUAGUC
rnacentral:rRNA from 1 species